GGGUCCGUGGGGUAGCUUGGUUUGAGCGCGGGGACCGGCUGGUCUUGCUGGCGACUCCGGUUCAAAUCCGGACGGACCCA
rnacentral:tRNA from 1 species